rnacentral:rRNA from 1 species
UGAGGAACAUGACCUUCGGCGGGGGAUAGCCGGCCCAACGGCCGGGUAAUACCGCGUACGACCACAUGGGGACAUCCCUGAGUGGUGAAAGCAGCAAUGCGCCGAUGGAGUGCCUCGCGGCCUAUCAGCUAGUUGGUGAGGUAACGGCUCACCAAGGCAACGAUGCGUAGCCGACCUGAGAGGGUGAUCGGCCACAUUGGAACUGAGACACGGUCCAGACUCUACGGGAG